rnacentral:lncRNA from 1 species
UGAAACAACAAUAAUUAAUUAUCACACAAUGCAGAAAGAACUCCAACCAAUUCAUUAUAUUUAUUUAUUUGAAAAUGCAGAUAUAUAUCUUGUAGUAGAAUUACAUGAGCAAGAGCAAAGAAAAUGAACUCCUUACAGCGUAACCAAAAAAAAGAACAAGAAAGAUGAUGAUUGUGAUCUUGUAGUAGAAACUUUGAUAAUGAUCAUGACAGGUUGGUGAAGGUUGUGCCAAUUGAUCUGAGAGGUUCCUUUCAAAAAUAUCAGUUGUUGAUGGACAGAGUGGUGAUGUUGGUGAUAGAGACGGUGAUGAGGGAGAGUUUGGGGGUGACGGAGACGGAGAUGAAGAGUAGGGCAUCGACGGUGGCGGAGAGUGUGGCGACCUCGGCGCUUGUAAAGGAGAAUCGAUUGGAGGAUGUGGUGAUGGCAUUUCCAGUGGGUCUGGUAUAGUACUCCGUCGUGCAAUUCUAACAGCCAAUAAUGAU